rnacentral:tRNA from 1 species
GCGGCUGUAGUACAUCGGUAGUACGCUGGCUUCCCAAGCCAGAUAGGCGGGUCCGACUCCCGUCAGCCGCU